CAGCAUGCGUGUACUAUCAAUAAUGUACACUCAUUUUGGCACUGCUAAUACACUUGACUGUCAAACAACACAUUUAAUCACUUGGCAUUUUCAGAAAUCUUCU